AUUGAACGCUGGCGGCAGGCCUAACACAUGCAAGUCGAGCGGGGGUAGCAAUACCCUAGCGGCGGACGGGUGAGGAAUGCAUCGGAACGUGCCGAGUCGUGGGGGAUAACACAGCGAAAGUUGUGCUAAUACCGCAUACGCCCUGAGGGGGAAAGUGGGGGACCGCAAGGCCUCACGCGAUUUGAGCGGCCGAUGCCCGAUUAGCUAGUUGGUGAGGUAAAGGCUCACCAAGGCGACGCUCGGUAGCUGGUCUUAGAGGACGAUCAGCCACACUGGAACUGAGACACGGGCCAGACUCCUACAGGGGGCAGCAGUGGGGAAUAUUGGACAAUGGGGGCAACCCUGAUCCAGCCAUGCCGCGUGGGUGAAGAAGGCCUUCGGGUUGUAAAGCUCUUUGGGCGGGGAGGAAGGUUCGCUAUCUAAUACAUGGCGGAAUUGACGUUACCUGCAGAACAAGCACCGGCUAACUCUGUGCCAGCCGCCGCCGUAAUAC
rnacentral:rRNA from 1 species